rnacentral:rRNA from 1 species
UUGAACGCUGGCGGCAGGCCUAACACAUGCAAGUCGAACGGUAACAGGAAGCAGCUUGCUGCUUUGCUGACGAGUGGCGGACGGGUGAGUAAUGUCUGGGAAACUGCCUGAUGGAGGGGGAUAACUACUGGAAACGGUAGCUAAUACCGCAUAACGUCGCAAGACCAAAGAGGGGGACCUUAGGGCCUCUUGCCAUCGGAUGUGCCCAGAUGGGAUUAGCUAGUAGGUGGGGUAACGGCUCACCUAGGCGACGAUCCCUAGCUGGUCUGAGAGGAUGACCAGCCACACUGGAACUGAGACACGGUCCAGACUCCUACGGGAGGCAGCAGUGGGGAAUAUUGCACAAUGGGCGCAAGCCUGAUGCAGCCAUGCCGCGUGUAUGAAGAAGGCCUUCGGGUUGUAAAGUACUUUCAGCGGGGAGGAAGGGAGUAAAGUUAAUACCUUUGCUCAUUGACGUUACCCGCAGAAGAAGCACCGGCUAACUCCGUGCCAGCAGCCGCGGUAAUACGGAGGGUGCAAGCGUUAAUCGGAAUUACUGGGCGUAAAGCGCACGCAGGCGGUUUGUUAAGUCAGAUGUGAAAUCCCCGGGCUCAACCUGGGAACUGCAUCUGAUACUGGCAAGCUUGAGUCUCGUAGAGGGGGGUAGAAUUCCAGGUGUAGCGGUGAAAUGCGUAGAGAUCUGGAGGAAUACCGGUGGCGAAGGCGGCCCCCUGGACGAAGACUGACGCUCAGGUGCGAAAGCGUGGGGAGCAAACAGGAUUAGAUACCCUGGUAGUCCACGCAGUAAACGAUGGACACUAUCUGUUCGGGUCGAAUGGGAUCUGAGUGGCACAGCGAAAGCGUUAAGUGUCCCACCUGGGGAGUACGCCGGCAACGGUGAAACUCAAAGGAAUUGACGGGGGCCCGCACAAGCGGUGGAGCAUGUGGUUUAAUUCGAUGCAACGCGAAGAACCUUACCUGGUCUUGACAUCCACGGAAGUUUUCAGAGAUGAGAAUGUGCCUUCGGGAACCGUGAGACAGGUGCUGCAUGGCUGUCGUCAGCUCGUGUUGUGAAAUGUUGGGUUAAGUCCCGCAACGAGCGCAACCCUUAUCCUUUGUUGCCAGCGGUCCGGCCGGGAACUCAAAGGAGACUGCCAGUGAUAAACUGGAGGAAGGUGGGGAUGACGUCAAGUCAUCAUGGCCCUUACGACCAGGGCUACACACGUGCUACAAUGGCGCAUACAAAGAGAAGCGACCUCGCGAGAGCAAGCGGACCUCAUAAAGUGCGUCGUAGUCCGGAUUGGAGUCUGCAACUCGACUCCAUGAAGUCGGAAUCGCUAGUAAUCGUGGAUCAGAAUGCCACGGUGAAUACGUUCCCGGGCCUUGUACACACCGCCCGUCACACCAUGGGAGUGGGUUGCAAAAGAAGUAGGUAGCUUAACCUUCGGGAGGGCGCUUACCACUUUGUGAUUCAUGACUGGGGUG